rnacentral:lncRNA from 1 species
GGGGUAGUAUCAAAAAAUUUUUUUCUAGCAUUUAUCAUUAAAAAUAGGGGGAGAAAUUAGAAUUAUAAGAAAAAUAAUUUUUAAAUUUUAAAAAAAAUUAUUGAUAAACUUUUGUACUUUACUUAGAUAUAUAAAUUUGUUUGAGCAUUCUUGUUAUUGUGUUCAUGUGAUUUAUUUUGGAAGAAUCAUUUUUGAACAUAAAAAGAGAAAUUAUUAUUCAACUUAAAAGAGA